AGAGUUUGAUCCUGGCUCAGGACGAACGCUGGCGGCGUGCCUAACACAUGCAAGUCGAGCGAUGAAACCCCUUCGGGGUGGAUUAGCGGCGGACGGGUGAGUAACACGUGGGUAACCUACCUCAAAGAGGGGGAUAGCCUCCCGAAAGGGAGAUUAAUACCGCAUAACAUUAGUUCUUCGCAUGAAGGAGUAAUUAAAGG
rnacentral:rRNA from 1 species